ensembl:misc_RNA Metazoa_SRP Metazoan signal recognition particle RNA
GCUGGGCAUGGUGGCGCAUGCCUGUAAUCCCAGCUACUCGGGAGGCUGAGGCAGGAGAAUCGCUUGAACCUGGGAGAUGGAGGUUGCAGUGAGCCAAGAUCAUGCCACUGCACUCCAACCUGGGUGACAGAGCAAGACUCCGUCUUAA